CGUUAGAGACGCGUGUAUAUAUGUGUGAAUUAUAUGUAUAUAUAUAGAUACAUCUAUGUAUAUUUUGUAUCCAAUACCUCAAGACAUCCAAUUCAAUCAAAAGUCAGUCCAGAAGACGAGCACACACACACACACCCACACUAACACAUCUGUGUCUGUUUGUGUAUAUGUGAGUGUCUAAGGUGAACGCGGAAGUGCUUCAAGCUGCUUGCAUUUCACGCUGCACUGGCGCACCGUCUCGAUUUAGAUAUAUAUCUCGUAGAUAUAUUGCCAGCUCCAUAUACAUGAAUGUAUAGCAACAAACAUCCAUAAUACCCAAUUAUAUAUGUAUAUACAUAUAUAUAAAUAUAUAUUUUGUACGAUUCGGCAAUACCAAAGUUUAACAUAAAUAGAACAAGAGGAAUAAUAAUAAUAAUAAUAAUAAGAAGAAGAAGAAGAAGCAGCAACAAUAACGGCGGCUGCAUCAGAA
rnacentral:sRNA from 1 species